CCCCCCGUAGCUUAGUGGUAGAGCGCUCGGCUGUAGACCGAGAUGCUCCGGGACAACCGGAGACGGGCAUUCGUCUCUUAACCACCUCUAAACUUGGCUGAGCCUAGGGUCCCCGGUUCAAAUCCGGGCGGGGGGA
rnacentral:tRNA from 1 species